GGUGUCCUACGGGACGCAGCAGUGAGGAAUAUUGGUCAAUGGGCUUACGCCUGAACCAGCCACGUCGCGUGAGGGAAGACCGCCCUAUGGGUUGUAAACCUCUUUUGUCAGGGAGCAACGCCGGCUACGUGUAGCCGGACUGAGAGUACCUGAAGAAAAAGCAUCGGCUAACUCCGUGCCAGCAGCCGCGGUAAUACGGAGGAUGCGAGCGUUAUCCGGAUUUAUUGGGUUUAAAGGGUGCGUAGGCGGAAUGCCAAGUCAGCGGUAAAAUCGCGGGGCUCAACGCCGUACAGCCGUUGAAACUG
rnacentral:rRNA from 1 species